GUCCGCAGCCCUGUUGGGGCCCUGAGAGACCGGCCCACCAGUGCCCAGAGGUCAGAGGAGGCGGGUCUGGGCUUGGGAGGCCCUGUGGGAUCUUGGCAGGCAGAGAAGUGGAAGGAACGGAGGAAGGUGGCUUCUCAGGCACGGGGGGAGCACCGGCCAAGUGGGUAGUGGGGAGGCCCAGAGUCCAGCAGCUGCACCCAGGCUUGCGUGUCUGGGGAGGACAGCCCGGCCCAGGCUCUUUCUGCACUGAAGCUGGAACCCACCAGGGUCGGGUUGCUCUGUUAGCUCCAGCACACGGAGCAAACACACAAAGAUUAGCAAACUUCUUUCCGGUGAGCUGAGUCAAAGCGGAUGAGCAAACACGGGCGCCCUGUGAGUCUGGCGUCUUCACCUGUGAGAAGGCAGACAAGCCCCUCACUGGCCCCGGAGGAGGAAUCACUGUUUGGUUUGAGAGGCGAGAGUGAGGCCCAGCGGGGUCAGGAGAAGGGCCCGGGCGCCCCAGGCAUGGGGGAAAUGCCCAGGAGAAACAGCCAGAACCAGGGAGGAGCCUUCCUGGCACACUGGAGAGCUUCCUCGGGAAGGCAGACGCGUUCGCAGAGGGCCUGGCCCACGGGGGUCGGCUGGCAGGAGCGAGGAGCAGAGAUCGCAGGAGCCACGGUGGUGGGUGAGCCCUGAACUAUACAUCAGACUCGGAAAACGGCAGCGUUGCAGGGGACAUUCAGCUAACCGUGAGGCCUGAUGAGGGCGUGAUGACGGUGGCGCAGCCGGAGGGCCCCCCUCUCAGGCAGCUGGCCCCUGGGAUGGGCUGGCAGCAGGUGGCAGCCAAGAAUAUUUGACCCCCUGCUCCAGAGGGCACCCCACCUCCACAGGCACACACACAUCUAUGCCCUGAGCUGGGACGAGCUGCACAGAGCGGGCUGGGGGCUGCUCCCUGGAAAAGAGGCAGCAGGUCCCUGGGACGCCUGGAGCCGCUUCUCCCGGUGCCAGCCUUGCCCUCUGCGUACUGGACAGCAACAAGCCCAGGCACAGAAUGCCAGCCUGAUCUCCAGAUGAGCCUCUGAUGAUUCAACACACCCGUUGCACUAUUUUUGUUAAUUUCAUCCAUCUUCAGUAUUCUUUGUGUCUCAGCUAUUCUUUCUUGUUCCUCUGCUUCAUCCUUACCACCUAGCAUUCAGGCAGUUCCACGCAGGCCCACUGCCCCUGGGUUCCGGAAGUCAAAGGUCCCUGUCACCAGCAACUCUGGUUAACAAAAGAGACGAGGAACCAGGCGAGCACCUGCCAUCCCAAAUGCUCCUGCGCCCCGGCCAGUCUUGACCUGAGUAGUUUGUAAUGCCCAACUUGGGCUUUUCUGCACCCAGCUAGGGAGACCCAUCCUUCCUCCCACCUCUGGUCAAGGUUUAUUCGACUCCAGCCUCUUCCUCAGCCCAGCCCAAUACUGUCCUGCCCACAGGGAGGCCCCUUUUCUCUGUUGCCAGCAUAGUUAGGAGUUCGCCCUCUCUCUAAGCACUUUCUGCUUUUGGCGGCCCCAGGGAGGGAAGGGCAGAGUCCUGUGAACCCAGUGUGCCAUCUUGGGCAGUAAGUCCACCCUAGCAGGGGGCUAGGCUAUUUUGCCUGGCAAAUGGAUUGAUGAUGUUUUUCUUUUGUUCCCCCUACGUAAAUAUUAAGUAAGGCAUUGCUUCUCUUUCAGCUUAAUCAUCAGGGCCCAGUCAUCCUUCAGGCACCUGUGGCUCACCCACUCCUUCUGGGGAGGGGAGGGGAUGACUUGACAGGUUUAUUCCCCUGGAGGCUGGGGCUGGGGCUGGGGGUUGGCCUGUCAGCUGCACUAUUGCUCAUUUCUCAGCUAGGCAGCCCCUGGCCCAUGGUUGGGGUGUUGGCUGCUUUGGCUGGUUUGGCUCCGGGCUCAGAGCUCCACAGAAGGUACCUGGGUACCUGCUGAGCCCCUCCCAUCACACAUGUGAUGCAACAGAGCACGUAUCCUGGAGGAGGCCCUACUGUGCCCACGGCGCUGCCCCCAUAGAGAGGCCCUCAAGGCAUAUGCCUUGGGCCAGAGCUGUGUGCCUGCUCUUUGAUCAGAGCUGGUGCAGUGCCCGGGACUCACAACAUGCCUUACGGAUGAAGAGAAGUCCCUAUUCCCAAGGUCCUGAAGUCCUUGAGGGACAAUUGGGCCAUCCAGAGAGACAUGAGGGUCAGAGAGGAAGGUAGCAGCUCACCCCCGCACUGCAGAGAGCCUGCCGAACACCCUGCCUGUGCCCCCAUGGUGUAGGUGCUCUUACUGCCCCACCUUACAGAUGAGAAAACUGAGGCCCAGCUAGGUGAACCCGUGCCCGAGGCAGCCUGGUAAGUGGCGAAGCUGCCACGGAGCCUCCUUCAACCCAUCUGCCAACCUUCAACUCUGUCAAUGGGAAAACUCUAAGUAGCCAGCACCUUAGAAAGGCGACUUACCUGUGCCCACCCCCAUGAUUUACGUGUUUCCGCUCCAUGAUUUACCUGUGCCCGCCUCCAUGAUUUACCUGUGCUCACCUCCAUGAUUUACCUGUUCCCACCUCCAUGAUUUACCUGUGCCCGCUCCAUGAUUUACCUGUUCCUGCUCCAUGAUUUACCUGUUGCUGCUCCAUGACUUACCUGUGCCCAACUUCAUGAUUUACCUGUGACCGUCUCCAUGGAAACCACAAGCCUGAGAUCCACGGAGGGGA
rnacentral:lncRNA from 1 species